CUUCGGGAAGCCGCAAUGGGGGAUUUUGCCCAAUCGGCGAAAGCCAUGAGGCCCUACGGCGCGUAAGCGAAGGAAGGCUUCGGGUUAUAAAGCUCUGUUCUAAGGGAAGAAUAAUGACGGUACCUUAGGAGGAAGCCCCGGCUAACUACGUGCCAGCAGCCGCGGUAAU
rnacentral:rRNA from 1 species